UCCAUGUGUGGCUGCCAACAAAGCUUCUCGGAGAGGAGGCUGAGUGAUUCCACAUUGGGCAGGAAAACAUGCUCCCCUGUGUAUCCCCAGUGAAAGGAGGAAACUCCAAAGGCAGGAGCAGCGAUGGAGCAAAAGGUUCUGCAACAAUGAAGUAACAGGAGAGCCUUUUAAACAUCCCAUCAGGGACUUGCAGAGGUCGUCUGGCGGCGAGUCAAUCAAGAAGCAGCAUGAACUGGCAGCCAAAUCUACGAGGAUUUUUAAAUCCUGGACAGAAGUUUUUAUUCCUUACAAACUUCCACAGCUCUUGAACUGCAACAUACCAUAUCGAAGGUUUAAUGUCAGGCACAGCACCUGACCAACUUCGGGAGAACAAAGCCUCCAUCUGGACUGAAGGGAAAGAGAGCUGGUCGCCUGUGGAGCUGCAGAGAACAAGGCUCUGCUUCCUUUGAAGCUCUGGUGUUCUUCUUAAUCACUUGGCAAAGUCUUAAUUUAAAGAGGAACUCUUAGAGAAAGGGGAAUCUCAAGUAUAUUUGACUUUCGUAUCAAAUCUACUUACCUUUCAUCAGGUUUAUUAAAACUGGUGAUGUGUUAAUUGUGAACUCCUUUUGUAUCUGAACAUGUAGUACUGCCAUUAGGGUCUCCCUCAUUGCUCUGUUUGGUCUUGGGCUGUGCUCACAUUGCUGUCUGUCCUGGAGUAAUUAUUUCUGGGGAUAAACAUUGUGACAUCAGGCACAUUGGAUUAAAAUUGUUGCAUAGUAAACACAAGGGAACUUCAGGUCUUAGAAUGCCUAAUUAGACAACAAUAAAUUUGUUGUGGGAUGGAUGAAAUAUAGAAGCCCAGGAAGUAUUGCAUUUUCACCAUUAUAUACUAUAUACAUUAAUGUAUUUCAUAUCUUUAUUCUUCUGAAGUAAAUAUCCUACAGGAAUUCUCUUAUCUUUUUACAAAGGUAUGUGAAAGAUCCACUUUGGAUAGAUGUAUAAAACCCAUAAAGCUAUAGUCUCAGGAGUAGUCAGCUCCGUAUUGUGUUUGUGCAAUAUGUCAGUGAUCCAGGACAUGCACAUAAUCCAACUUCCACCAUGGAGUGCUAUUUAAAAAAAUAGGGCAUAAGUGAAUUCUUCAUUUUAUCCUUGGCUUUGGUUCCUGGAUGAAGCCAUAUGUUGGGGAUAUAAGAAACAUGUAAUUCUUGACAUAAAAGAGUUUGUAAUCUAUAUGAUAGAAAUAAAAUCAUCUGAGAAUACAGCUGCAAAAAUAGAAUUAAGUAUCAAAAAAUAUCAGUGAGAAAUCAUAGCAUGACAAUCUUAGUUAAGUAAAUAGAUGACAAGUUUCAGGGAACUUCAGUUAGAAAUAAACUUAAAAAGUUGCAUAAGUUAUGAAGAAAGGGAAAAUAUGUUUUCAGUGUUGGUGAAUUAAAGAGAAAAUGUGUGUAAGGAAUAAACCAUCAGAGUUUCAAGGGAAGACUCUCAACAUGUCAAAACAACAGUUUUGAAAAGAUAUUGGGAUUAAUGAAGACAUUUUUAGGCAAUCAUCAGAUUGGAAAUUUAGAUGAAGGUCGACU